ACGAACGCUGGCGGCGUGCUUAACACAUGCAAGUCGAGCGGUAAGGCCCUUUCGGGGGUACACGAGCGGCGAACGGGUGAGUAACACGUGGGUGACCUGCCCUCAGCUCUGGGAUAAGCCUGGGAAACCGGGUCUAAUACCGGAUAUGACUCCAUGACGCAUGUUGUGGGGUGGAAAGCCUUGUGCGGCUGAGGAUGGGCCCGCGGCCUAUCAGCUUGUUGGUGGGGUGAUGGCCUACCAAGGCGACGACGGGUAGCCGGCCUGAGAGGGCGACCGGCCACACUGGGACUGAGACACGGCCCAGACUCCUACGGGAGGCAGCAGUGGGGAAUCUUGCGCAAUGGGCGAAAGCCUGACGCAGCGACG
rnacentral:rRNA from 1 species